rfam:Alphaproteobacteria bacterium RIFOXYD12_FTLL_60_8 rifoxyd3_full_scaffold_3415, whole genome shotgun sequence.
UGCGGGGUAGAGCAGCCCGGUAGCUCGCAAGGCUCAUAACCUUGAGGUCGCUGGUUCAAAUCCAGCCCCCGCAA